rnacentral:snRNA from 1 species
UGCUCACUUUGGCAACAACAUACUAAAACUGGAACAAUACAGAGAAGUUUAGUUGGGCCCUGGCACAUGGGUGACACACAAAUUUGAAAUGUUCCAUAUUUUU